rnacentral:snoRNA from 1 species
AAAGCAGGCUGCAAUUGCAGCGCCUCGUCCCGUGGGGGCGCUGCCAUUCCCCUGCUGAGAGUGACCCUGUUACACUGCCUUCGGCCUCACCGGCGCCGUGGGGGGGCCGCUUGUCCCUGACAGGGACAUGU